rnacentral:rRNA from 1 species
CAGCUCCGUAACACGUGGCCAAACUACCCUGUGGACCGGGACACCCUCGGGAAACUGAGGCUAAUCCCGGAUGGAUCGCCCGCGCUGGAAUGCCGGGCGAUCGAAACGCUCCGGCGCCACAGGAUGUGGCUGCGGCCGAUUAGGUUGACGGUGGGGUAACGGCCCACCGUGCCGAUAAUCGGUACAGGUCGUGAGAGCGAGAGCCUGGAGACGGAAUCUGAGACAAGAUUCCGGGCCCUACGGGGCGCAGCAGGCGCGAAACCUUUACACUGCGCGUCAGCGCGAUAAGGGGACUCCAAGUGCGAGGGCAUACAGUCCUCGCUUUUCUGGAUCGUAAGGAGAUCCAGGAACAAGGGCUGGGCAAGACCGGUGCCAGCCGCCGCGGUAAUACCGGCAGCCCAAGUGAUGACC